rnacentral:rRNA from 1 species
UACGUAGGUGGCAAGCGUUAUCCGGAAUUAUUGGGCGUAAAGCGCUCGCAGGCGGUUUCUUAAGUCUGAUGUGAAAGCCCACGGCUCAACCGUGGAGGGUCAUUGGAAACUGGGAGACUUGAGUGCAGAAGAGGAGAGUGGAAUUCCACGUGUAGCGGUGAAAUGCGUAGAGAUGUGGAGGAACACCAGUGGCGAAGGCGACUCUCUGGUCUGUAACUGACGCUGAGACGCGAAAGCGUGGGGAGCGAACAGG